GGCUGGUCUGAGUGCAAUGGUGUUUACAACUAAUUGAUCACAACUGGUUACAGAUUUCUUUGUUCCUUCUCUGCUCCUACUGCUUCAAUUGACUAGCCUUAA
ensembl:Y_RNA Y_RNA Y RNA